UACGUAGGGUGCGAGCGUUGUCCGGAAUUAUUGGGCGUAAAGAGCUCGUAGGCGGUUUGUCGCGUCGGCCGUGAAAACUUGGGGCUUAACUCCAAGCUUGCGGUCGAUACGGGCAGACUUGAGUUCGGCAGGGGAGACUGGAAUUCCUGGUGUAGCGGUGAAAUGCGCAGAUAUCGGGAGGAACACCGAUGGCGAAGGCAGGUCUCUGGGCAGUAACUGACGCUGAGGAGCGAAAGCGUGGGGAGCGAACAGG
rnacentral:rRNA from 1 species